UGCAGCUCUCUAGUAAAGAUCCUGAUGGCACAUUGAAAACCACUUGUCAAAGGCUGAACACUAUGUGCAAAAUGCAAAAUCCUGUAGACUAUAUACUGGAAGAUAGGUUGAUAACAAGUGUAUUAUGUGAUUGCUUUCUGCGUAGAAUUAUUGUGUGCCUUCAACUUAUCUCAACUUAUGGCAACCUUGCAGUGAAGUCAUAAUGGGAUGAUGAUGAUGAUGAUGAUGAUGAUGAUGAUGAUGUUUACUUAUAUCCCACUUUUUCUCUCCACCACCCAGAGGACCUUUUCAUUGGCAGCCCCACGACUGUGGAAUGACCUGCCAGAAGAACUCAGACACCUAAAAGAGCUGUCAGAAUUAAAAACCAUGUAAAGCCCUAUCUCUUCUGGUAGGCCUACCCAGACAGUCUUUAAACAUGCCGGCUUGGAUCUUUUGGCACGGCACCCAAUGUGCCCAUCACCACCAGGACCACCUGUACUGGUUUCAAGUUCAAUCUUGAGGUCCUGAUAGCG